rnacentral:rRNA from 1 species
UGGGGAAUAUUGUGCAAUGGGGGAAACCCUGACACAGCGACGCCGCGUGAGCGAAGAAGGCCUUCGGGUCGUAAAGCUCAAUAGUAUGGGAAGAAAUAAAUGACGGUACCAUACGAAAGCCCCGGCUAACUACGUGCCAGCAGCCGCGGUAAUACGUAGGGGGCGAGCGUUGUCCGGAAUUACUGGGCGUAAAGAGCACGUAGGCGGCUAUAAAAGUCAGAUGUGAAAAACCUGGGCUCAACCGAGGGUGUGCAUCUGAAACUAAAUAGCUUGAGUCAAGGAGAGGAGAGCGGAAUUCCUGGGGUAGCGGUGAAAUGCGUAGAGAACAGGAAGAAUACCAGUGGCGAAAGCGGCUCUAUGGACUUGAACUGACGCUGAGGUGCGAAAGCGUGGGGAGCAAACAGG